CAAUAGCAUAUAUUAACGUUGUUGCAGUUGAAAAGCUCGUAGUUGAACUUUUGGUAGGAGCGACCUGGCCUUGGGCGCAUGCCCUUGUUUGCCGUGUGUCGUAUCUGGCCAUCCUUUUCUUCGUUUUUCGGAGGGAUCUUUUACUGUGAGUAAACUGGAGUGCUCAAAACAAGACGUUUGUUUGGUACAUUAAAGCAUGGAAUAAUAAGAUAGGACCUGGUUACUAUUUUGUUGGUUUGCAUAGCUAGGUAAUGAUUAACAGGGACAGUUGGGGGUAUUCGUAUUUAAUUGUCAGAGGUGAAAUUCUUGGAUUUAUGAAAGACGAACGACUGCGAAAGCAUUUACCAAGGAUGUUUUCAUUAA
rnacentral:rRNA from 1 species